UAUAGAUAAUUAUUUUGAAUUUCGUAUCAAAAAAGCUGUGGCAGAAAAUCAAUCUUAGUUGGUAUAACAGAAUGUGAUAACAAUAUGAUAACGGGGCUCUGUGGUACAGAAAAUGAUACAACUUUUGGACGUGGCAGCACCGGUGUUCGUUAGAAGAGGUUUAUAGAACUAGAGAAAAUUAAUAUUCCGUGGAUAACAGAUCUGGUUAAAGGUUAUAUAUUGUAAAAGUAUAACUUUCCGUUUCCAAAUUUGUUAUUCAACAAUGCAGCAUCCAUUUCGAGUAUCAGUUGUUUUAGCAAUAAAUUUUUACUUUUAUUAUCAAUGUAUCGUGCAUCCACGAGAAGUUCAAUUAUAUCGGCCUCUCCUUCCCCUUACUUUGGAGUAUUCUAACCAAUUAGAAAAGAAUGCAUUAGGAGAAGUACGUGGAUUUUAAAACAAUGGGCUAUUGACAGGAUAAGUCAAAGUACUUUUAGCUAAAAAGCAGAUUCUUUUGCAAAGAAUGCUGCAUAUUACAUUGUACAAAAAUGGUUUGAAUUAAACAAUAAAAUGUAUGUGUAUAAUAUAUGUAUUUAUAAUCGUUAUAGUCAUUGAGAUAUAAAGUUAAAUGAAUUCAUAAA